GACGAACGCUGGCGGCGUGCCUAAUGCAUGCAAGUCGAGCGGGCUACGAUCUUCGGAUUGUAGCUUAGCGGCGAACGGGUGAGUAACACGUGGGUAACCUGCCUGGAAGACAGGGAUAACGAUUCGAAAGGGUCGCUAAUACCUGAUAAUAUCCUUUCAUCGCAUGGUGAUAGGAAGAAAGGGGAAACCCGCUUUCAGAUGGGCCCGCGUCCCAUCAGCUAGUUGGUGAGGUAACGGCUCACCAAGGCGACGACGGGUAGCCGGUCUGAGAGGAUGGUCGGCCACACUGGGACUGAGACACGGCCCAGACUCCUACGGGAGGCAGCAGUUGGGAAUCUUGGGCAAUGGGCGAAAGCCUGACCCAGCGACGCCGCGUGAGGGAAGAGGGCCUUCGGGUCGUAACCGUCUGUCAUGGGGAGGAAGGCAAGUGACGGGUACCCCAACGAGGAAGCCCUCGCUAACUACGUGCCAGCAGCCGCGGUAACGAGUAGUACACUGAGACUGCAACCGG
rnacentral:rRNA from 1 species